rnacentral:tRNA from 1 species
GGUGGCUCAAUGGUAGAGUGCUUGCCUUGUACACAUGACGCCUGGGUUUGAUUCUUAGCACCA